CUGAGUAUUUCUCAUUUCUUUUUAUUCGGUCUCUCUUUCUCUCUCGUCUAUUUCUCUGGGAUCGAUCACCAAUCGGAAACAAAACCCUUCUCUGAAACCCUAGAAAGGAUCGAUCCGUAAAACCUCGUUUCAUUUCAAUUCCUAAUCCCUUGCUUUCUUUCUCGGCCAACGGAUUCCUCAUCUCAGUCCUAUCUCUCGAUCUAUUUCACUCCGCAUACGUUCACUUUGAUCGACCCCCUCCGCCGCCUCGCGCCUCGCGCUUUUGUCCGUCCAUAUUGACUUGGGUCGAUUCUCAUCGGAGAGUCGAUCGGUUUCGCCGCCGCGUCUUUGAUCGUCAAAUGGUUUCAGUUGGUUGAUUCAAGAUGAAGUUGAAGAAGAGGAGGGCUUCGGAAGUGCCUCCAAAAAUUAGAUCGUUCAUUGAUGGUGUGGUAGCUACUCCACUUGAAAAUAUAGAGGAACCCCUGAAAGGUUUUGUUUGGGAGUUUGACAAGGGAGAUUUUCAUCAUUGGGCGGAUCUCUUUAAUCACUUUGAUACAUUUUUUGAAAAGCACGUAAAGACAAGGAAGGACUUGCAGGUUGAGGAUAAUUUCCUGGAAUCUGAUCCUCCCUUCCCAAGGGAGGCUGUCCUUCAGAUCCUCCGUGUUAUAAGGAUAAUCUUGGAGAACUGUACAAAUAAACACUUCUGUAGUUCUUAUGAGCAUCAUCUUUCGUCUCUGCUUGCUUCCACUGAUGCAGAUGUUGUUGAGGCUUGCCUGCAAACUUUGGCAGCUUUCUUGAAGAAAACAAUUGGAAAGUACAUCAUAAGAGAUUCUUCUCUUAAUUCAAAAUUGUUUGCUUUUGCACAAGGUUGGGGAGGAAAGGAAGAAGGCCUUGGAUUAAUUACAUGUGCUACAGAGGGUGGAUCUGAACCAAUUGCUCAUGAGUUAGGUUCCACCCUCCAUUUUGAGUUCUAUGAAGCAAAUGAGGUGUCUAAUGAAUUUCUAGCUGCUGAACAGGCAGCUGAGGGCUUACAAAUUAUUCAUUUGCCUAACAUUAACACUUAUCAAGAAUCUGAUCUUGAACUUCUGAAUAAGUUAGUUAUAGAGUACAAAGUACCUCCAUCUUUAAGAUUUUCUCUUUUGACAAGAUUACGAUUUGCAAGAGCUUUCAGCUCCUUAGCUGCCCGACAGCAGUACAUGUGCAUUCGGCUGUACGCCUUUAUAGUUCUUGUUCAAGCAUGUGGUGAUACUGAUGACUUGGGUUCUUUCUUUAACACUGAGCCGGAGUUCAUUAAUGAGUUGGUGUCAUUACUGAGCUAUGAAGAUGCAGUUCCUGAAAAGAUUCGAAUUCUGAGUCUUCUUUCCUUGGUUGCUUUAUGUCAAGACCGGUCUCGGCAACCUAGUGUACUGACUGCUGUAACAUCUGGAGGGCACCGUGGCAUCCUUUCUAGCCUUAUGCAGAAGGCCAUUGAUUCUGUUGUCAGUAAUUCUUCCAAGUGGUCUGUUGUUUUUGCAGAGGCUUUAUUAUCUCUGGUCACUGUGCUGGUCUCAUCAUCAUCAGGUUGCUCUGCAAUGCGUGAAGCAGGAUUUAUACCCACUCUGCUGCCUCUUCUUAAAGAUACAGAUGCCCAACACCUGCAUUUAGUUAGUAUGGCUGUACAUGUUCUAGAAGCUUUUAUGGAUUACAGCAACCCAGCUGCCGCACUGUUUAGAGACCUUGGGGGAUUAGAUGAUACCAUUUCAAGGCUGAAAGUAGAGGUGUCUUAUGUGGAAAAUGGCUCAAAGCAGCAAAUUGCUUCUACUGAGCUGGAGGGUUCUGAAUAUAGUGGCACCCAGGUAGUUGCAGGUACUUCUGCCAUGCUUGAUAAUGUGCACCCUCUUUACUCAGAGGCAUUGGUUGCAUAUUAUCGGCGGUUGCUGAUUAAAGCUUUAUUACGUGCCAUUUCUCUUGGUACGUAUGCCCCUGGAAGCACUGCCCGUAUUUAUGGUUCAGAGGAGAGUUUGUUGCCACAUUGCUUGUGCAUUAUUUUUCGAAGAGCAAAAGAUUUUGGUGGUGGAGUCUUCUCACUUGCAGCCACUGUCAUGAGUGAUCUAAUCCAUAAAGAUCCUACUUGUUUUCCAGUACUAGAAGCAGCUGGUCUUCCAUCUGCAUUCAUAGAUGCUAUAAUGGAUGGUGUCCUCUGCUCUGCAGAAGCCAUUACAUGCAUACCUCAAUGCUUGGAUGCUUUGUGCCUCAACAACAGUGGCCUUCAGGCUGUGAAAGAUCGCAAUGCUUUGAAGUGCUUUGUGAAAAUAUUUACUUCCAAGACAUACCUGCGUGCCCUUUCUGGUGAUACACCUGGAUCUUUGUCUGGUGGUCUUGAUGAACUAAUGCGCCAUGCUUCCUCAUUGCGUGGUCCUGGUGUAGAGAUGAUGGUUGAGAUUUUGAAUGCCAUUGCAAAGAUAGGAUCUGGGGUAGAAGCUGCUGCUUCCUCUUCAACUGAUUCUAUAUGCUGUUCAACUCCUGUUCCCAUGGAAACUGAUGCUGAAGAGAGAAGUUUAGAUUUGUCCGAUGAUAAGGGAUUGUGCAAGAAUGAGAAGUCUGAGCAGUCUUCUGAGGCCACUCCCGAUGCCUCAUUAGUUAAUGUGGAGUCUUUUCUUCCUGAUUUUGUAAGCAAUGCUGCCCGUCUUCUUGAAACAGUUCUUCAGAAUGCUGAUACUUGUCGGAUAUUUGUUGAGAAGAAAGGAAUUGAAGCUGUUUUGCAAUUGUUUGUUUUGCCGUUAAUGCCUAUUUCCGUAUCUGUUGGUCAGAGCAUCUCUGUGGCAUUUAAGAACUUCUCUGCACAGCAUUCUGCUUCACUUGCUCGAGCUGUAUGUUCAUUUUUGAGAGAGUAUUUAAAAUCAGUCAAUGAGAUCUUGGUCACAGUUGGUGGGACACAAAUUGCUCAGUUAGAAUCUUCAAAACAAAUGAAAGUCUUGAGGUGUCUUUCUAGUCUUGAAGGUAUCCUAGCACUAUCCAAUUCUUUGUUGAAGGGCACAACUACUGUAGUGUCUGAGUUGGCUACUGCAGAUGCUGAUGUAUUAAAAGAGCUUGGGAGGGUUUACAAGGAAGUACUAUGGCAGAUUUCCCUAUGUUGUGAUUCCAAGGUGGAUGGCAAACAGAAUGUUGAAUUGGAAUCUGAAAAUGCAGAUGCAGGUGUAUCCAAUGCUGCUGGAAGAGAGAGUGAUGAGGAUGGAAAUAUUCCUGUUGUGAGAUACAUGAAUCCUGUUUCUGUAAGGAGUUCUUCCCAACCCCACUGGGGCACUGAGCGUGAUUUUCUCUCUGUUGUUCGGUCUGGUGAAGGCUUUAACCGUCGCAGUCGACAUGGGUUGUCACGACUUAGGGGUGGAAGGACUGGCAGGCAUCUAGAGGCUUUGAACAUAGAUUCUGAAAUUUUAUCAAAUGCACCAGAGACUUCUUCCCAAGAAAUGAAGAAGAAAAGUCCGGAUGUUCUUGUUUCAGAAACAUUGGAUAAGCUUGGUUCGACUAUGCGGUCUUUCUUCACUGCUCUUGUCAGAGGAUUCACAUCGCCAAAUCGUCGUCGAACUGAAUCGGGAUCAUUGGGUUCAUUUUCAAAGAGCAUUGGAACUGCGUUGGUUAAAGUUUUUCUUGAUGCUCUUAGUUUUUCAGGCUAUCCUACUUCUAGUGGGAUUGAUGUGCCACUCUCAGUGAAGUGUCGCUAUCUUGGAAAGGUUGUGGAUGACAUGGCAGCACUUACAUUUGAUACUAGGCGGCGUACUUGUUAUACGGCAAUGGUCAAUAAUUUUUAUGUAAAUGGAACCUUCAAGGAACUGCUUACAACAUUUGAAGCUACAAGUCAGCUAUUAUGGACGCCACCUUACUCUAUUCCUGCUGCAUGUGGUGUUGAUCAUGAUAAGACUGGGGAAGGAAGUAAAUUGUCUCACAGUUCAUGGCUGCUGGACACAUUGCAGAGCUAUUGCCGCUUGCUUGAGUAUUUUGUUAAUUCUUCUCUACUUCUAUCUUCAACCUCUGCCUCUCAGGCACAGUUGCUUGUCCAGCCUGGUGCAGUUGGUUUGUCAAUUGGACUGUUUCCUGUUCCCAGGGACAGAGAGGUAUUUGUUCGCAUGCUUCAGUCUCAGGUUUUGGAUGUGAUACUUCCUGUGUGGAAGCAUCCUAUGUUUCCCAAUUGUAGUCCUGGUUUUAUCACUUCCAUUGUUUCGCUUGUUACUCAUAUAUAUUCUGGUGUUGGAGAUGUGAAGCGAAGUCGCAGUGGCAUGUCAGGGAGUACAAACCAACGUUUUGUGGCCCCGCCACCUGAUGAAACUACUAUUGCUACAAUUGUGGAGAUGGGUUUCACAAGGGCAAGGGCAGAGGAAGCAUUGAGACGUGUGGAAACGAAUAGUGUUGAAAUGGCUAUGGAAUGGUUGUUUAGUCAUGCUGAAGAUCCAGUGCAGGAGGAUGAUGAACUAGCUCGAGCACUUGCUUUGUCACUAGGAAGUUCAUCAGAAACCUCUAAAGCUGAUAGUGUUGAUAAAUCAAUGGAUGUCCUCACAGAAGAGAGCCAAACAAAGUCACCCCCUGUAGAUGAUAUCCUUACUUCAGUGACAAAGUUAUUCCAGAGUAAUGACUCAAUGGCAUUCCCUUUGACUGACUUGCUUGUGACCCUUUCUAAUCGGAAUAAAGGAGAAGAUCGGCCAAGAGUGGUAUCUUAUCUUAUUGAGCAGCUUAAGCUUUGUCCAUUGGAAUUUAUGAAGGAUACAAGUGCUUUAAGUAUGGUAUCACAUAUUUUAGCAUUGCUUCUUUUUGAAGAUGGAAGCACAAGAGAAAUUGCAGCAAAAAAUGGUGUCGUCUCUACAGCCAUAGAUAUCUUGAUGAACUUCAGGGCUAGAACUGAGUCGGGAAGUGAAGUCCUGGCUCCAAAAUGCAUUAGCUCAUUGCUUCUUAUCUUGGAUAACUUGUUGCAGUCAAGGCCAAGAGUUUCUUCUGAUAACAUGGAAGGAAUUAAUUCAGUGACUAUACCCGAUUCAUCUGGAGAGCAAGCUCCAUUGUCUGCUUCAGGAGGAGUUACUGAGAAAAAAUCCACUCCAGAAGUCCAUGAGAAAGAAUCUGAAACUGCCUUUGAGAAGAUUUUUGGAAAAUCUACUGGCUAUCUGACUAUUGAGGAGAGUAACCAGGUACUCUCUGUUGCUUGUGAUUUGAUUAAACAGCAUGUUCAUGCUGUGGUCAUGCAAGCUGUUCUUCAGUUAUGUGCUCGUUUGACAAAAACACAUUCUCUGGCUUUGCAAUUCCUUGAGAAUGGAGGUAUGGCUUCUCUUUUUAGUCUUCCAAGAAGUUGCUUCUUUCCUGGAUAUGACACCCUGGCAUCUGCAAUCAUUCGGCAUUUACUUGAGGAUACUCAGACGUUGCAAACGGCCAUGGAAUUGGAGAUACGGCAAACUCUCAGUGGAAGCCGCCAUUCUGGUCGUCUUUCGCCACGGACAUUUUUGACAUCAAUGGCACCUGUUGUCUCUAGAGAUCCGGAGGUUUUUGUGAGAGCUGCAGCUGCUGUUUGUCAGUUGGAGACAUCAGGAGGAAGGACUGUUGUGGUGUUAUCAAAGGAAAGGGAAAAGGAAAAGGAGAAAUCAAAGGCAUCUGGUGUUGAAAUUGGAGCAUCUUCUAAUGAUUGUGUAAAAAUUUCUGAUGCUAAGACCCAUGACACACCUGGUAAAUGUUCCAAAGGCCACAAAAAAAUUCCUGCAAAUCUGACUCAGGUAAUUGAUCAGCUUCUAGAAAUUGUGCUCAAGUAUCCUUCACCUACAAGUGAUGAAACUUGCACAAGCUAUUUAACGGCUAUGGACGUGGAUGAACCUGCUACCAAAAUAAAGGGUAAGUCGAAGGUUGAUGAGAGUAAGAAGAUUGCGUCAGACAACCUAUCAGAGAGAUCAGCAGAACUAGCUAAGGUUACAUUUGUCCUCAAGCUGUUGAGUGACAUUCUUCUGAUGUAUGUCCAUGCAGUUGGGGUUAUACUGAGGCGGGAUUCAGAAAUGUGUCUACCCCGUGGACCUAAUCAUCUAGAAAGCACUGGACAUGGUGGAAUAUUGCAUCAUGUUUUACAUCGUCUUCUUCCCUUCGCUGCAGAUAAAAGCACUGGAAAUAAUGAAUGGAGUAAUAAAUUGUCUGAAAAAGCCUCAUGGUUUCUUGUGGUUUUGUGUGGUCGUUCUAGUGAAGGGCGUAGACGAGUUAUUAGUGAACUUGUGAAAGCCUUAUCUGUCAUAUCAAACUUGGAGAGCAAUUCUUCCAAGAGCAGCUUAGUGCCAGACAAGAAGGUUCUAGCUUUUGCUGACUUGGUAUAUUCCAUUUUGUCAAAAAAUUCCUCCUCCAGCACCUUACCAAAUUCUGGGUGCUCUCCAGACAUUGCAAGAAGUAUGAUAGAUGGUGGAAUGGUUCCAUCUCUAACCAGCAUUCUCCAAGUGAUUGAUUUGGAUCAUCCCGAUGCCCCCAAACUUGUCAAUCUUAUACUUAAAGCUUUGGAAAGCCUUGCACGAGCUGCCAAUGCUAGUGAACAGGUCUUUAAAUCCGAUACAUUGAGCAAGAAAAAGUCCGUGGGUUCCAAUGGGAGGUCAGAUGAUCAACUAGUUAUGACAGGAGUUGCUGAGAUGGUAGAACCAAAUCAAAUUCAGGGGAGUCAACAGGAAGUUGCUGAUGCAGCAAAUGCUGAACAGCAGCAUCAGGGGGCAUCCCAAAAUCAAGCUGAUCGUAAUGCAACUUCGAACCAGUCCCUGGGGCAGGAUAUGAGAACUGAAGUGGAAGAGACAGAGACUGCUAAUCCAACAAUGGAUAUUCAAAUGGAUUUCAUGCGUGAAGAAAUUGAUGGUGGUGUGUUACAUAAUAGGGACGAAAUUGAGAUGACUUUUCAUGUUGAGAACAGGGCAGAUGAUGAUAUGGGGGAUGAAGAUGAUGAUAUGGGGGAUGAUGGUGACGAUGAUGAGGAUGAUGAUGAGGGGGAGGAUGAUGAGGACAUAGCAGAAGAUGGCACUGCUCUGAUGUCUUUAGCUGAUACGGAUGUGGAAGACCAUGAUGAUACAGGUUUGGGAGACGAGUAUAAUGAUGAUAUGGUUGAUGAGGAAGAUGAUGAUUUCCAUGAAAAUCGUGUGAUAGAAGUUAGAUGGAGGGAAGCACUUGAUGGUUUAGAUCAUCUGCAGGUACUUGGGCAACCUGGAGCUGCCAGUGGUCUCUUUGAUGUUGCAGCUGAACCCUUUGAAGGGGUGAAUGUGGAUGACCUUUUUGGUCUCCGUAGGCCUCUUGGCUUUGAACGUCGUCGCCAGACAAGUAGGACUUCCUUUGAGAGAUCUGUUACGGAAGGAAAUGGUCUUCAACAUCCUCUCCUAUUGAGACCAUCACAGUCCAGCGAUUUUAUGUCAAUUUGGUCAUCAGGUGGGAAUUCAUCCAGGGAUUUGGAAUCCUCUGGAAGUUUUGAUGUUGCUCAGUUUUACAUGUUUGAUGCCCCUGUUCUUCCUUAUGAUCGUGCAUCAGGUAGUCUGUUUGGCGAACGACUGGGAGGUGCAGCACCACCACCAUUGGCGGAUUUUUCUGUGGGGCUGGAGUCAUUGCGAAUGCCAGGAAGAAGAGGCCCAGGUGAUGGUAGAUGGACAGAUGAUGGUCAGCCACAAGCAGGUGGUCUAGCUGCUGGCAUUGCACAGGCGCUGGAGGAACAGUUCAUAUCUCAACUACGCAGUGUUGUUCCUCCGGAUAGUUCAGUCGAAAGGCAGCCUCCAAAUCCAGGAGUUAAUGAGAGGCAACAAUUAGAUGCACCCUUAACAAGUGAUAGUCGGCCACCAGUAGUUGAUGAUAGUACUAGUGGACAGCAGACUGAAGGCCAGCAUCAUGAAAAUGGUGUUGAACUUGCUCAUCAGGAUCCUAAUGAAAUGCUUGAAAGCAGCACUCCUCAUCAAGAAGUAGACCCAGUGGUUGGUGAAGCCAAUGAAUGCCAGCAGGGAUGUGAACCCAUGUUGAGUCAUGAGCUGGUGGAUAACUGUGCAUUAAAUGAUCAUGGUAGCAUGGAAAUUGUGGAAGUAAAUGGUGGCCCAGCAAAUGAGCAGGAUCUUGGCCGUGAUAGAUUGUCAGCUACAGAAAGCCAUUCAAGUAACCGGGCAUUAAUAACUUCUGGCUUUGAAAGUUCUAAUCAAGGUGCCGAUGGUCGUGAUUCUUCAGUGAACGGAAGUAUUGAUGUUGAUAUGAACAGUGUAGCCACAGAAGGAAAUCAAGUUGAGCAGCCCUUGCCUUCUUCUGAUGUUGCUGUGGAUGAACCAUUGUCAGGGCAGCAUGCUCUGGAAGUUCAUGAUGCGGGUCAGACUGAUCAAACUAGUUUGAAUAAUGAGGCUCCUAAUAUGAAUGGUAUUGAUCCAACUUUCUUGGAGGCCCUUCCUGAAGAUCUUCGUGCAGAAGUUUUAGCUUCCCAACAAGCUCAGUCUGCACAAGCUCCAACAUUUGAUCCACCUUCAGCUGAGGAUAUUGAUCCUGAGUUUUUAGCUGCUCUCCCACCGGAUAUUCAAGCUGAAGUUUUGGCACAACAACGUGCAAGGAGGGUUGCACAGCAGGCUGAAGGACAACCUGUUGAUAUGGACAAUGCCUCAAUAAUAGCUACUUUCCCUGCCGAUUUACGUGAAGAGGUGCUUUUGACUAGCUCAGAGGCAGUUUUGUCUGCAUUGCCAUCUCCAUUGCUUGCGGAAGCUCAAAUGCUCAGGGAUAGGGCAAUGAGCCACUACCAAGCUCGCAGUCUUUUUGGAAGUAGCCAUAGGCUAAAUAAUCGGAGGAAUGGUUUAGGGCUUGACAGGCAGACAGUGAUGGAUAGAGGUGUUGGUGUUACAAUAGGUCGAAGGGCAUCAUCUGCUCUUGCAGAGAGUUCAAAGUUGAAGGAGAUUGAAGGGGAGCCACUUUUGGAUGCACAAGCUCUAAGGGCCUUGAUCCGACUCCUAAGAUUAGCACAGCCUCUUGGUAAAGGCCUUCUCCAGAGAUUAUUGUUGAAUUUAUGUGCACAUAGUGUGACAAGAUCAGUUCUAGUGUGGCUUCUGCUCGACAUGAUCAAGCCUGAGACUGGACCCCUGGCCAAUGGAUUGACAACAGUUAAUUCCCGGAGGCUUUAUGGUUGCCAGCCAAAUGUUGUUUAUGGUCGAUCUCAACUGUUAGAUGGUCUUCCCCCCCUGGUGUUGCGUCGGAUUCUUGAGAUUUUGACUUAUCUGGCAACCAACCAUUCUGCAGUUGCAAACAUCUUAUUUCAUUUUGAUCCCUCACUUAUUCCAGAAGAUGUGAAACCAAGAUAUUCCGAGAUUAAGAAGGAUAAAGGAAAGGAGAAAAUUGGGGAAGUAGGGGAGCUGUCAAACCCUUCAGAUAGCUUCCAGACAGGGGAUGUUCCUUUGAUACUGUUCUUAAAACUCUUGAGUCAACCACUUUUCUUGCACAGUAGUGCUCUUCUUGAGCAGGUAAUGGGUCUGGUUCAAGUAGUUGUUUACACUGCAUCAUCCAAGUUGGACUGCCAAUCUCAUUCUGAACAAGUAGCAGCUGAUAGCCACAAUUUAUCUCAAGAUGAAGCCACAGGUGGGGAUCAGAAAGAUAUGCCUUCAUCCAAUCUGGAAUCUGGCCAGGAUGGAAAAGGUCCCAAUGCUGAAUCAUCUACAUCAGAUGGGAAGAGAAGCUCCGAUACCCACGACAUCUUCUUGCAGCUCCCACAAGCUGAUUUGCAUAAUCUCUGCAGUCUUCUAGGCAAUGAGGGGCUCUCCGACAAAGUUUACUCACUUGCUGGUGAGGUACUGAAGAAGUUGGCUUUGGUUGCUUCCCCCCAUAGAAAAUUUUUCACGUCUGAGCUUGCAAGCCUAGCUCAUAAUUUGAGCAGUUCUGCAGUCAAUGAACUCAUCACUAUGAGGAAUACACAUAUGCUGGGCCUAAGUGCUGGAUCUAUGGCUGGUCCUGCUAUUCUACGUGUGCUUCAGACACUUAGCUCACUUAUUUCACCUAGUCUUGAUGGCAACAAGGGUAUGGAGGGUGAUGCAGAAUUGGAAGAGCAUGC